GUGUAAAUUUUGGGCACAAUUCUAGCAAGAUUUUAGGAAAACAUGCUAAAAUAUUAAAUAAAGUUUCAACAAUAUUAAACAAAUUUCGUACAUGAAAAAUAUAUUAAAAUGGGGGAAAUAUCCAGUGAAAACGCACGUCUGAUGAAAACCUGAAAACUAUGGACGUUAGCCAUCGGAUUGACAAUGUACGCCCCAGAUCGAUCGUGGGAAUCGAACCAAGAAUUUAAACGUAAUUUUACGGAACACCCCUUGCAGUUUCUGCCCCUUAUAGCGACUAGGAUGUGGAAAAAAUAAUUCAUCCAUACUCUUCUAAAAAAAGUUAUCUUCUUAUUGUCCAUGUUCCUAUAUGUCUUUCUUCAUGUGAGAUACGAAGGCUAAACAUCAUUGGUGUUUGCCCAUUAUCAGUGGAAGCUUCUUUGCCUUCCUUUCAGUUUGUCUUUCAACCAUAAUAUUUUGUUCUUUAAAUGCCGAAAAUGCUCCCACUUUCAACCACGUUCAAUCAAUCAAAGCAAAAAAAAAAAGAUCCAUGUGCCUACUAUAGAUUAUUUAAGAUCCGAAGGAUAGUUUCUGGGAGGAGGGGCUAGCAUAGAGGACGGUGGCGAUAGAUCUCAGGUGGACAAGCUCAUGUGCGACAUAUGAGGAGGACGACAUGUGAUGGAUCUUGGGGCCAGUUACAACUCGGACUAGUAGACGAUGAAGACGAAGGGGCAA
rnacentral:lncRNA from 1 species